GCUUAAGAUUAUUUCACUUAUUAAAUAAUCCUUAUUGGAAUACCAGUAAUAGCUAAGGUUAAAAGUGUGAAGUGCUCUUCCAGCUCCUUGUCUUUCAGAGUGGAAACUUCAGUUUCUUUCCCUAGGGAGGUCUUAAUAUAGAAGUGUGAUAGGGAAAAUCCAUUUUUGUUGACAUUACUGAGACUUAACUAUGUUUGCUAAGGAAAAAGUAAACCAAUACUAUCUUUUUCAGAAGCUACCUAUGACCAGAGUGACACUGAAGGAAGGAUCAGAGCUCUGAAGGAUGAACUGCAUCCAAGAAAACUUGUUGCUGAUCAGUUAAGGAACAGAGAAGCAGCAGCAGAGAGGUUGAGAGCCCAAGAAGCAAGUCAGAGCAGAGGAGUACACGGCCGAACGUACUAAACCUGCUACUUGUU
rnacentral:lncRNA from 1 species